CUCCGUUGAAGUGUUCGGAUCUCCGCCCAACUUGGCCGGUUCCCCNCGGAAGACUUUCCCCGAGAAUGUUCWCMSUGAACCUUAUCAUUUAGAGGAAGGAAAAAUCGCGAACACAGGGUUUCCCUAUAGGGAAAACCCCGAAGUGUACAGGUUUCGUAGGUGAACUGCGGAAGGAUCAUUGUCGAAACCUGCCCAGCAGAGCGACCCGUGAACAUGUUCAACCUCAUGGGUGUUGGGGCGUUGCUAGGUGCCUUGUGUGCCUUCUUCGUCCCUCUCCCAAGCCGGGGGGCGCUCACUCGUGAGUUGUCCCCGGCAAAACAACGAACCCCGGCGCGUAAAGCGUCAAGGAAUAUAAACUUUAUGUGUGUACUCACCCGUUGCCCGGUUAGCCGGGCUUUGGUGUGGUGCCAUGUCUUAACAAUAAACGACUCUCGGCAACGGAUAUCUCGGCUCUCGCAUCGAUGAAGAACGUAGCGAAAUGCGAUACUUGGUGUGAAUUGCAGAAUCCCGUGAACCAUCGAGUUUUUGAACGCAAGUUGCGCCCGAAGCCUCGGCUGAGGGCACGUCUGCCUGGGCGUCACGCAUCGCGUCUCCCCCAAUCCCACCCUUGGUGGAGGGGAAGGAGGAUGGCUUCCCGCGACUCACCGGUCGCGGCUGGCCUAAAAUUGGAGCCCUCGGCAUUGAGAUGCCGCGGCGAUAGGUGGUGAACAAGGCCUCGGCCAAGCAAGCAACCCGUCGCGCAUCGCCAUGCCACUGUGUGCUCGUAGGACCCUUUGAGUUGCCUUACGGSAACAAAACCGUUGCGACCCAGGUCARGCGGGGSUAACCGSUNAAUUUAAGCAUAUCAAUAAGCGGAGGAAAAGAAACUUUACNAGGGAUUCCCCUAGAUA
rnacentral:rRNA from 1 species